UGUGUGUGUGUGUGUGUGUGUGUGUGUGUGUGUGUGUGUGUGUGUGUGUGUGUGUGUGUGUGUUGAGUGUGUAAUGUUCCUUUAUCUAACUUUAGGGUCAGCUGUGUUCAUUCUCAUUUUCUCAUUCUUCAUUGCCAGAUUUGGGAGAUUAUUUCAGCUGAAGGGGUUUUGUGACAUUUUACUCAACACAUUCUUACUCAGUGACUUAUGCAGAGGAGCCUAGAAAAACAACAGCUAUCACAUAGUGGUGGGGAGUCGUUUGUGUGCUACACUAAAGGCCAGGGAAAGAGACCACAUACUAAAGCAAGGCUGAGCUAACCGUUUUCCAGCAGCAUCUCCAGAAAUCACGCACAGAACAAGCAGUAUGGCUGGUGGCAUUGUCAUGCUGGAUGGUCAUGUCUGAAUGAGCCUGCAGGAAGAGUACCACAUGAGGGAGGAGGAUGUCUUCCCUGUAACGCACAGCGUUGAGAUUGCCUGCAAUGACAACAUGCUCAGUCCGAUGAUGCUGUGACACACCGCCUCAGACCAUGAUGGACCCUCCACCUCCAAAUUGAUCCCGCUCCAGAGUACAGGCCUCAAAACCGCGACUUGUCAGUGAAGAGCACUUUUUGCCAGUCCUGUCUGGUCCAGCGACGUGGGUUUGUGCCCAACGUUGUUGCCGGUGAUGUCUGGUGAGGACCUGUCUUACAACAGGCCUACAAGCCCUCAGUCCAGCCUCUCUCAGCCUAUUGCGGACAGUCUGAGCACUGAUGGAGGGAUUGUGCAUUCUUGUUGUAACGUUACUUAGCUAGCUACCUAGCCUCAAAUCAAAUAGCUAGCAUGCAGAUAUCCCCAAGUCCCAGUGACACAUAUACAAGACACCUGUCUGAUUCGUGCUGGGUGUACUGAUCCAGUCUAAGACAUGUGCUACUGAAAUUGUAUAUGGUUGUAUUACAUAAACAAUUGUGCAACACUAAUAAAAAUAAUAUUGUUUUAUAACAAAUGCGCUUUCUCCCUUGUCGGAUAGCGGUUUCUGAAACACAUCAGUGCGCUGUUGAAUUAAGACAGAUCCUGCUUCUGUUGCCUGUUUGAGUGAUUGUUUAAUAGCCUACUGAUUCCGUGAGCCCCAAGCCUCAAGUAAACAAUUUCACAUAUUCGGUUGUUUUUAAUCUUUGCUUUAAUGUAAUAA
rnacentral:lncRNA from 1 species